GACGAACGCUGGCGGCGUGCCUAAUACAUGCAAGUAGAACGCACAGUUUAUACCGUAGCUUGCUACACCAUAAACUGUGAGUUGCGAACGGGUGAGUAACGCGUAGGUAACCUGCCUGGUAGCGGGGGAUAACUAUUGGAAACGAUAGCUAAUACCGCAUAAUAUUGAUUAUUGCAUGAUAAUUGAUUGAAAGAUGCUAUUGCAUCACUACCAGAUGGACCUGCGUUGUAUUAGCUAGUAGGUGAGGUAACGGCUCACCUAGGCGACGAUACAUAGCCGACCUGAGAGGGUGAUCGGCCACACUGGGACUGAGACACGGCCCAGACUCCUACGGGAGGCAGCAGUAGGGAAUCUUCGGCAAUGGACGAAAGUCUGACCGAGCAACGCCGCGUGAGUGAAGAAGGUUUUCGGAUCGUAAAGCUCUAUUGUAAGAGAAGAACGGGUGUGAGAGUGGAAAGUUCACACUGUGACGGUAUCUUACCAGAAAGGGACGGCUAACUACGUG
rnacentral:rRNA from 1 species